AAUAUGCAGUGGAGCAUUUCACUUCUAUUGAUGAAGUGGUUCUUGACGUUGGAGACGGACUGCUGGCAAGGGUUGCAGCAGAAUGUGGACGAAAUGGGAGGAUGGUAGAGGAGACAACACUGUCCAGCACAGAAAUAGAGGCCAUGAUGGGUGCUGCAGACUCGGAGGAGAUUCUAGAUGCAGAUCUAGUAUUAAGCAUGGACCAGACGUGUUCUAUACCUUAGUGCAUUUUGUUUCUCUCAUUUCCUCACCUCGAUCACUACCUCAUUUAGUUCUGAAAAAUCUUGUUAAGAUAUGUGACAAACUAACGUUUUUAUGUAAAUAUUUUUAUACAGAUAUGGCUGGUAGGGUGUUUAUAUAUCAUUCUUUUGGCCGCUGGAGUUGUAUUUUCAUGAGGGAAAAUAAAACUCCUUUAGGUAGGCUAAAGAAUAUGUAUUACAUACAUAACAGGAAAUAUCUAUUAUAAUAUUAGAUAACCUUGAUUAAGACCAAGUCAUGGUUUUUACAUGAAAGUCUGAACACGAACAGUUUAAUAGAGUCUGAUCUACAGUAGAUAUCCAUUGUCUUCGCCUUUCUUCUCUGUGCUUAGCUGUUAUAACGAAUAUUGUUGAUACAUGAAUACAUUGUCUUAGCUCAAGCGCGUAUGCUCCUACUGUUAUCGUUGACCAGCUGGUCAAUAUAACCAUCCAGAUGACCGGGCGUGAACUGUUAACAAUAAAUUGCAGUCCCCAUAUCACUUGACAUGCUGUGGACCAAUCACACCUUAGCAACUCUCUGAGCUAUCUAAUACAAGUAUUUAAGUCUAUGUGUAGAUGUGUUUUUAGUUUAGUAGAUAGGUGGCUGGACUACCGAUCAUUAGGUACAUGUAUGUGGUUCAAAUCUCGGCCACUUCACUAAGGUCUAGCUUUGGCAAGACCUUAACAUACAUUUACUACACUCAAACUAUGUUGUACCAAAAUAUGUAGCCUAGUUAAGGUCAGGUAACAUACAUGCAGGAGCACCUUGCUAUAUAGAUGAGCGCUAUACUAGAGUGCAAUAUUAUUAUUAUUAUCUUUUAUUAGAGCAUAUUUUUGUCUUGCCAAGUGAACUUGAUUACUUUGAAGGUAAUUUCAAAGGCACAGGGUUGGUGAACGUGACUCGUCACCUUAUUUAUUUUUCUAAAGCAUCAACACAAAAACCCACAUAUUAUUAUUUUAUCAAGGAUAAAAACUCGGGUCACAACUAUUGGGCCCUUGAUUUUGUUACCAUCUUGUCAAAAUGAAACACUCGAUCUAACUCAUUUCCAAGCAUCAGAAGACGGUUGUUGAUAUCAAUGAUGUAGUUGGAAGAUCAUAUACUUCAAAGUUAUAAUCAAGGAAUUAUCAGAGCUGGAGUCCAAACUGAGGAUAAUUUAUGCAAACAUCUGGCAGAUUCCAAAGGAUAGUCAAUAGAAUUAUUAAACUGCCUUGGUUCUUUGAUAUUUGAUGCGCGAUGCCACCAAAGUAAAAGAAAACAUUUUAGAGAGGAUGUGAACUUUGUGGGUUUUUGUUUGCACAGUUGAUUUAUUAUAUCAAUAAACAUAGAAAACAAAUAGGCAAUUGUUUAGUAAUUAUGUACGAUGCCACUCUGAAAAUCCCAUUCCUCAACAAGCAAGAUUUCUUGAGAUAUUGCCUUAAGAGUGUAAUAAAUAUGUACUGCUUCAAGUACAAUAUUGAUCCCUUG